rnacentral:rRNA from 1 species
UGGGGAAUAUUGGGCAAUGGGGGGCAACCCUGACCCAGCAACGCCGCGUGAAGGAAGAAGGCUUUCGGGUUGUAAACUUCUUUUACCAGGGACGAAGACGUGACGGUACCUGGAGAAUAAGCCACGGCUAACUACGUGCCAGCAGCCGCGGUAAUACGUAGGUGGCAAGCGUUGUCCGGAUUUACUGGGUGUAAAGGGCGCGUAGGCGGGAUAGCAAGUCAGGAGUGAAAUCUAUGGGCUUAACCCAUAAACUGCUUUUGAAACUGUUAUUCUUGAGUAUCGGAGAGGCAGGCGGAAUUCCUAGUGUAGCGGUGAAAUGCGUAGAUAUUAGGAGGAACACCAGUGGCGAAGGCGGCCUGCUGGACGACAACUGACGCUGAGGCGCGAAAGCGUGGGGAGC